GAGCUAUGAGGACAACAUUUUAUAUUGAUCAUUUGACAAUGAUGUAUUUAUACGCUAUUCUGAGCUCAUG